UUGAUUGUCGUGGUUCCUGACCUGGUGCCACUGCUUGCCUCAAGCCUUUUUGCCACAUCGCUGUUCCCUGUUACUAACCCUGUCUGUCUGCCUUUCCCCAGGUCCACUCACCUCCUCUCUUCCACAGCCCCCUGUGCCUCCCAGUUCCCUCGUCCCAGGCUUCUUGGUCCCACCUGCUCCUCAGCUCCCUUGCCUCAGCCCACUUUGCCCUACUUGCUCCUCGGUCCCCCGUGCCCGUGUUCCCCCGGCAUCCACCUCUCCCUCACCUCCACUUCCUCAACCCCUUUUUCCCUCAAACCAACUUCACCUAAGCGUUGCUUUUGGGUCCUCUCUGUCCCACACACACAACAUGGUUAUGUUUCAAAGUAUUUAAGCAGUGCAGGCAUUUUUAUUUUGUUUUGUAGCACUCUUUGAAGUAACAUUGAAAUCCAAUAAACCAAACAAAUAUUAAAGACACACAGGAUGUGUGAGGGUUUAAAAAAAAAAAUAAUAAAAAAAAAAUAAAAAAAGAUUGGGGUUGUAGUAAAGAUCCUCAAUUUAUUUUUAUUCACCUUUCACUUACCUCACUUCCUUUAGUUCCUUUUCUCAUCACUGAUUGGCUCCCGCUUUCACCUUUCAUUUCUCCUGAUUGACUUGAUUGAGUUCACCUGUUCACACUAUUUAAGGACUGUACUCCCUUUCACUCACUCUUUCACUUCCACAUGGGGUGGCAAUUCUGAUUGAACAACUUAUGUGUCUCUUUUUCCUGAUUAUGUUGACCAAUGCAUCCUUUACAUUGGAAGACAUAAAACGUUGUUCAGAGGACAUUCCAAGUUUCCUGGCUCAGUUCUACGCAUUCUGACCAAUGCGCCCAAUGACAAUAGUAAUAGUAUUUGAACUGAUACAUGUUGAAAGAAGGUGUAUGAUAUUUGAUAAAUAAGCUUACACAGGAAUUCCUUUAAGCGAGUAGGUAGGCAUAAACUAUGCUUUUGUAGGAGUCUAAUGCUCAACAUUUUCUGUUCCUGAUACUUGACAUUUGGUUGCACAAUUUUAUUAUUUGUCUGUUGCCAUAACAAUAUCUUGUUCUUAGCCAAUAUCUAAAAUAUGUGACCUAGAAACUGUUUAAAACUACCACAAAACCAACUUUUAUUCCUUCCAACUUUCUUCCUUCAAAAAUAAAAGCUCACAUCUCCAAACACCUUAAGUCAGUGAGAGAGAAUUUUGGUUGCCAACUGCUUUCUAAGUGACUUAUGAUUCCAGCUAGCGGUGAAUUGCUUAGCCAAAAUCUUGAUUUAGUGCUCUUCAAGCAGUUUGUGGAAGUUGAAUGUCAAAUUUCAUAGGAUGGUUGUUUGCACACGCUUUGUGGAUUUCUGCUUUUUACUGCUUCUACUUCGGUAUUUUUCAAGCAAAUUCUGACUCCAUUCAGCUGCUGAAGACAAAUCAGGAGAUGGUGCUGUACUAUGGAUGUUUUGCUGUACCCAUUUAAAAAAUAAAAUAAAUUUCCCAUGCGCCACUGCAUGCAUCUGU